UACGUAGGGUGCAAGCGUUGUCCGGAAUUAUUGGGCGUAAAGAGCUUGUAGGCGGUUUGUCGCGUCUGCUGUGAAAUUUCGGGGCUCAACCCCGAACUUGCAGUGGGUACGGGCAGACUAGAGUGUGAGGGGUAGGAGUGAAUCGAUCGUGGUAGUGGUGGUAAAUGCGCAGAUAAUCAGGAGGAACACCGUAGCGGAAGGCAGGGUCUCUGGGCCAAC
rnacentral:rRNA from 1 species